UUUUACAAUGUAGAGUUUGAUCCUGGCUCAGGAUGAACGCUAGCUACAGGCUUAACACAUGCAAGUCGAGG
rnacentral:rRNA from 1 species